rnacentral:rRNA from 1 species
GAGUUGAGUUGUUUGGGAAUGCAGCUCUAAAUGGGUGGUAAAUUCCAUCUAAAGCUAAAUAUUGNCGAGAGACCGAUAGNGAACAAGUACCGUGAGGGAAAGAUGAAAAGCACUUUGGAAAGAGAGUUAAACAGUANGUGAAAUUGUUGAAAGGGAAACGNUUGAAGUCAGUCGUGUU